AUUUCACAAUGGCUCCUUUCCCCUCCCCCUAAAAUUAGCAGGAGAGGGUUUUCCUCAGAUAUUUACUGUGAGAACCUGGUCUGGAUCCUGGAGGUAAAUCUCACAAAAUUGUGGGAGCCCUUCUAUGACUGUGUCCCCUUGGAAUUUUUAACUCAUAGAGUUGUGCACACUGAGUAUCCAGCAAUUCAUUAAUUAUAGUUCUGGUUUUCCUAUUCUGGUGCUGAUUCCUGUAGCAGUUGUUGCUUGUCAGUCUCUCCUUGGAUGAGGAAACUGAGGCCCAGAUAAGUCCGUGGUCACAGGUGUUUGGAGGUGGAACCAAGAGCAGAAACAUCUCAGGAAUGGGACAUCCCACUCUGGUGAUCGGCCUUCCUCUGCCACUUCUCAGUGGUUAUAUAUGCCAGUUGCGGGUCCUUCUAGUUGUGGCAUGUGGAAUGCCGCCUCAACGUGGCCUGAUGAGCGGUGCCGUGUCUGUGCCCAGGAUCCGAGCCGGUGAAACCCUUGUCCACCACAGCAGAGUGUGGGAACUUAACCACUUGGCCAUGGGGCCGGCCCCUCAAAGGGAGCCCAUGCAAUCUGCAGGAGAGAGCCACAUGGCAAGGAAUUGAAUCAUCCAGCUAACAGCCACGGAAUUGAGCUUGGAAGCAGAACCUCAUUAGCAGACUGAAGUGUUGAGACUGCAGCUCAGACCUACCGUUUGCCUAUAACCUCCUGAGAGAGCCUGAGUCGGAACCACUAGAUAAUCUCAUCCUCAUAAACUAAGUGAAAUAAUAAAUGUUUGAUUUCUUUAAAGUGUUAAAUUUUGAGGCAGUUCUUGCACAGCAAUGUUCAAUAAUACACUAUGUAUAGAAUUUAAAAUUCACCUCAACAUAAAUAAAUCAGUUCAUGAUUGAAUGAAUGAAUGAAUGAAUAUAUAAAUGAAAGCCCAGGGCAUUGGAGAGGGGUAGCUUUUAAAUUCCCAAUAUGCAGAAUGCAUUCUCUUUAUGAGGACAUUAAACAAAUGUAUAUAUGUAUAUGUGUAUGUAUAUAUAUAGCAAAUGUUUAAAAUAAGUGUAGAUAUAUAGAAUGUAUUCAAAUUUAUUCAAAAUACAUAUAUAUAUACACACGUGUCAUACUAAUAUACAGAAUGCAUUCU
rnacentral:lncRNA from 1 species